rnacentral:sRNA from 1 species
AUGCCCAGAAGCACUAGACAACGCACUUCCCUUUGUGCUUGGUGGGCAGAAACUCUGCAUACAACGUCACACUACAAAGUACAUUUAUUGGAGAAUGGAAGAGUUCAAUUUUUACGCCAAGGCUAUACUCACGAUUGCGGUACGCAUCCGAUGGUGAACCCAACGAGCCCUCUCAGCGUUAAAAGCCAAGCAUAGCUGGGGGCAACUGAGCUUAGAAUGCUAUAUAAAACUAAUAAUACUCCAAACAAUGUCGAAUCUCACCGAUUUACGG